rnacentral:rRNA from 1 species
UACGUAGGGUGCAAGCGUUGUCCGGAAUUAUUGGGCGUAAAGAGCUCGUAGGCGGUUCGUCGCGUCGGCUGUGAAACCUAGAGGCUCAACCUCAGGCCUGCAGUCGAUACGGGCGGACUUGAGUACUGCAGGGGAGACUGGAAGUUCCUGGUGUAGCGGUGAAAUGCGCAGAUAUCAGGAGGAACACCGGUGGCGAAGGCGGCUCUCUGGGACGGUACUGACGCUGAGACGCGAAAGCGUGGGUAGCAAACAGG